rnacentral:pre_miRNA from 1 species
UAUGAACAAUGAUCGCCAUAUUUUUACCGCUACUGCAUUUCAUUGUAAUAAUUGUAGUACGGAAAAGAUAUGGGGAUUGGGGUUCAUA